GAUGAACGCUGGCGGCGUGCCUAAUACAUGCCAGUCGAGCGAACGGACGAGAAGCUUGCUUCUCUGAUGUUAGCGGCGGACGGGUGAGUAACACGUGGAUAACCUACCUAUAAGACUGGGAUAACUUCGGGAAACCGGAGCUAAUACCGGAUAAUAUUUUGAACCGCAUGGUUCAAAAGUGAAAGACGGUCUUGCUGUCACUUAUAGAUGGAUCCGCGCUGCAUUAGCUAGUUGGUAAGGUAACGGCUUACCAAGGCAACGAUGCAUAGCCGACCUGAGAGGGUGAUCGGCCACACUGGAACUGAGACACGGUCCAGACUCCUACGGGAGGCAGCAGUAGGGAAUCUUCCGCAAUGGGCGAAAGCCUGACGGAGCAACGCCGCGUGAGUGAUGAAGGUCUUCGGAUCGUAAAACUCUGUUAUUAGGGAAGAACAUAUGUGUAAGUAACUGUGCACAUCUUGACGGUACCUAAUCAGAAAGCCACUGCUAACUACGUG
rnacentral:rRNA from 1 species